UACGAAGGGGGCUAGCGUUGUUCGGAAUUACUGGGCGUAAAGCGCACGUAGGCGGGUAUUUAAGUCAGGGGUGAAAUCCCAGAGCUCAACUCUGGAACUGCCUUUGAUACUGGGUACCUAGAGUAUGGAAGAGGUGAGUGGAAUUCCGAGUGUAGAGGUGAAAUUCGUAGAUAUCGGAGGAACACCAGUGGCGAAGGCGCUCACUGGUCCAUUACUGACGC
rnacentral:rRNA from 1 species